UGCAGUCGAACGAGAGACUCUUCGGAGUAGUAAAGUGGCGAACGGGUGAGUAAGACAUGGGUAAUCUGCCUUUGAGCGGGGGAUAACCAGCCGAAAGGCUGGCUAAUACCCCAUACGCUUCCGGUCCCUCGGGUAAGGAAGGAAAGCUGCAUCGUGGAUGUGGCACUCGAAGAUGGGCUCAUGGCCUAUCAGCUUGUUGGUGGGGUAACGGCCUACCAAGGCAACGACGGGUAGCUGGUCUGAGAGGACGAUCAGCCACACUGGCACUGAGAUACGGGCCAGACUCCUACGGGAGGCAGCAGUGAGGAAUAUUGCGCAAUGGGCGAAAGCCUGACGCAGCGACGCCGCGUGGGGGAAGAAGGUUUUCGGAUUGUAAACCCCUUUUAGGAGGAAAGAUGGGGUGGGUUUCCACCCGGACGGUACCUCCAGAAAAAGCCACGGCUAACUUCGUGCCAGCAGCCGCGGUAAUACGAAGGUGGCGAGCGUUGUUCGGAUUUACUGGGCGUAAAGAGCACGUAGGCGGUUUAGUAAGCCCCUUGGGAAAGCUAUGGGCUUAACCCAUAAAGGUCGAGGGGGACUGCUAAGCUAGAGGGCGGGAGAGGAGCGCGGAAUUUCCGGUGUAGCGGUGAAAUGCGUA
rnacentral:rRNA from 1 species